AGAGUUUGAUCAUGGCUCAGAACGAACGCUGGCGGCAUGCUUAACACAUGCAAGUCGAACGGAAUGCUUCGGCAUUCAGUGGCGCACGGGUGAGUAACACGUGGGAACCUGCCCUGGGAUGGGGAAUAACCACUGGAAACGGUGGCUAAUACCGCAUACGCCCUUAGGGGGAAAGGCUUCGGCCGUCCGAGGAGGGGCCCGCGCCCGAUUAGCUUGUUGGUGGGGUAAUGGCCUACCAAGGCUACGAUCGGUAGCUGGUCUGAGAGGAUGAUCAGCCACACUGGGACUGAGAUACGGCCCAGACUCCUACGGGAGGCAGCAGUGGGGAAUAUUGGACAAUGGGGGAAACCCUGAUCCAGCAAUGCCGCGUGAGUGAUGAAGGCCUUAGGGUUGUAAAGCUCUUUCGCCUGCGACGAUGAUGACGGUAGCAGGAGAAGAAGCCCCGGCUAAUUCCGUGCCAGCAGCCGCGGUAAUACGGAAGGGGCUAGCGUUGUUCGGAAUUACUGGGCGUAAAGCGCACGUAGGCGGACGAGAAAGUCAGAGGUGAAAUCCCAGGGCUCAACCCUGGAACUGCCUUUGAAACUCCUUGUCUUGAGGUCGAGAGAGGUGAGUGGAAUUCCGAGUGUAGAGGUGAAAUUCGUAGAUACUCGGAGGAACACCAGUGGCGAAGGCGGCUCACUGGCUCGAUACUGACGCUGAG
rnacentral:rRNA from 1 species